UCUUUCUUCCUCUACUUUCUCUUUCAUUCUCCCUUCCCUCUUUUUUACUAUCUCUUCAUGCCGCUGCACCCACUCCUUCCUUCCAUGGCAUGAAUCCCACCAACCCACCUCUCUCUCUCUCUCUCUCUCUCCCUUCCCCCCUCCUUAAUUGGGAGGUGAUGGCGAUGGUGAUGCUUUGAUUGGGUAUGGGUGGUGGAGGUGCUAGGGGUCGAUUGCUUUUUUACUAGGUGGCGAGAUGUGUAUUGGGUUCGAUUGGGUGUUUGGUCGUGAUUCCAUUGGCAUGGUGUUGGUGUUGGUGUCGGUUGGGUUUGAUAGGUGGUGGUGAUGUGGGGACUGGGUCUGUGAGGUUUGGUGGCAAUGGCAGAGUCAUGGCGGUUGAGAUGAUGAUGGUCUGACAAUCGUGGCCGUGGAAUGCUAGAAGAUGGUGAGAGGCUACUUAAGUGGAUGUUAGAGAAGGGUAUAGUGCCUAAUGCCGGCACUUAUAAUUCUCUCAUGAAGCAGUACUGCAUUAGAAAUAAUAUGCGUACUACAACUGAUAUGUAUAGGAGCAUGCGUGCUGGUGGGGUAAUGCUUGAUAACAACACCUAUAACAUUUUAAUAAAAGGGCAUUGUAAGGCAAGGAAUAUGAAA